GAAAAAGACGACGCGCGCUGCCGGACGUUACUCAUUGUCGGGGGAAGCAGCAUCUUAGAGACGGGGUUGGGGGUUUGAAUCCAGCCUCUGCUCUGCUUGUGUGGACUUUGCAUUUUACCUACAAGACACUCGGCUUUCUUGCAUGAACUCCGAUUUCCUCCUGCAGUCCAAAGACAUUGCAGUUAACUGGCAUCUGUAAAUUGUCCAAUGUAUUUGUAUGUUCCUGAAUGUCCGCAUGUAUGUGCUCUGUAAUGGACUGGCAUCCCGCCCAGGAUGUACCCUAUCCUAAUGCCCUGUGCUGUGUGGGAUAUGUUGCAGGCCCCAGGUGGAUUGAUCAAUACAUCAGAGACAUUUCAGGAAUAAUAAAUGUAAACGUGAAGUCCUUCGAAAAAGUGGCUGCACCCUGACUGCAAAGUAUCCCAGCAGAAGUGGGGAGGGGAGGGAUGAAUAGAGGAGGAGCAGACAGAUGAGUUUGGUUAAUCCCAAACUUCCAGUCUUUUGUUUGAUGUCCCCUCAUUAUUAUAGUAUUGAAGGGGUGUCUCUCUCACUACCAUUUGGACUCCAAGGGGCACAGAGCCUCAGAGCAGAAGCUGCCACAGAGAGCCUGAGACUGAAAGGAUGGGAAGAGCAAAGUAACUAAAACACAAGGAAUCAUAAACCUAUCAGAGAGUCAGAGAAUCACCUACGUCCCCCAAGAAGAGACUUGCAGCAUGGAGGUCCCCAGCAUCCAUGGGAACUAUAUGGGAACUGAGACGUUCCAGAUGCUGCAGCUCAACAGGAGUUUGGGUAUUAGUACAUGAUAUUGCCAUUUUGAUGUUUUUGUUAUGCAAAAGAAAUGUUCAGAGCCUUGAGGAAGCAGUGGCAGAGAGUGCAAACAACACAGUGGUCAAUAAAAAGAAGAGGAGGAAAAAACACUCAAAGGAAAUGUGCGAUUCUCCAGCUCUUGAGGAACCAAGCGAUGAGAGAGGGCAUGUCCAUCCAGCAAAGAAGAAAU